GCACUGCUGAAGAGUCUCAUACUAAGACGAAACGGCCGUCCAAUGC
rfam:Schistosoma margrebowiei strain Zambia genome assembly, scaffold: SMRZ_contig0003738